rnacentral:rRNA from 1 species
UACAGAGGUCUCAAGCGUUGUUCGGAUUCAUUGGGCGUAAAGGGUGCGUAGGCGGCGCGGUAAGUCGGGUGUGAAAUCUUGGAGCUUAACUCCGAAACUGCAUUCGAUACUGCCGUGCUUGAGGACUGGAGAGGAGACUGGAAUUUACGGUGUAGCGGUGAAAUGCGUAGAUAUCGUAAGGAAGACCAGUGGCGAAGGCGGGUCUCUGGACGGUUCCUGACGCUGAGGCACGAAGGUCAGGGGAGCAAACGGG